AGAGUUUGAUCCUGGCUCAGAUUGAACGCUGGCGGCACGCCUAACACAUGCAAGUCGAGCGGUAACAGUCUUAGUAGCAAUACUGAGAGCUGACGAGCGGCGGACGGGUGAGUAAUACGUAGGAACCUGCCCUUGAGAGGGGGACAACCAAGGGAAACUUUGGCUAAUACCGCAUAAACUCGAGAGAGCAAAGCUGCCCG
rnacentral:rRNA from 1 species